UGUUGGCUGGUGGUGAGGUUGCAUUUAUUGGUGGUGAGGUCAUGUUGGCUGGUGGUGAGGUUGCAUUGAUUGGUGGUGAGGUCAUGUUGGCUGGUGGUGAGGUUGCAUUGAGUGGUGGUGAGGUCAUGUUGGCUGGUGGUGAGGUUGCACUGAGUGGUGGUGAGGUCAUGUUGGCUGGUGGUGAGGUUACAUUGAGUGGUGGUGAGGUCAUGUUGAUUGGUGGUGAGGUUGCAUUGAUUGGUGGCGAGAUCAUGUUGGUUGGUGGUGAGGUUGCAUUGACUGGUGGUGAGGUCAUGUUGGCUGGUGGUGAGGUUGCAUUGAUUGGUGGCGAGGUCAUGUUGGCUGGUGGUGAGGUUGGAUAGAUUGUUGGUGAGGUCAUGUUGGCUGGUGGUGAGGUUGCAUUGAUUAGUGGUGAGGUCAUGUUACCUGGUGGUGAGGUUGCAUUGAUUGGUGGUGAGGUCAUGUUGGCUGGUGGUGAGGUUGCAUUUAUUGGUGGUGAGGUCAUGUUGAUUGGUGGUGAGGUUGCAUUGAUUGGUGGUGAGGUCAUGUUGGCUGGUGGUGAGGUUGCAUUGAUUGGUGGUGAGGUCAUGUUGAUUGGUGAUGAGGUUGCAUUGAUUGGUGGCGAGGUCAUGUUGGCUGGUGGUGAGGUUGCAUUGAUUGGUGGUGAGGUCAUAUUCGGUGGUGGUGAAGUUGCAUUGAGUGGUGGUGAGGUCAUGUUGGCUGGUGGUGAGGUUAUGUUGGCCGGUGGUGAGGUUGCAUUCAUUGGUGGUGAGGUCAUAUUGGGUGGUGAGGUCAUGUUGGCUGGUGGUGAGGUUGCAUUGAUUGGUGGUGAGGUCAUACUGGGUGGUGGUGAGGUCAUGUUGACUGGUGGUGAGGUCAUGUUGGCUGGUGGUGAGGUUGCAUUGAUCGGUGGUGAGGUCAUGUUGGCUGGUGGUGAGGUUGCAUUCAUUGGUGGU